rnacentral:lncRNA from 1 species
GUUUUCCAGCACUUUGGGAGGCUGAGGCGUGUGGAUCACCUGAGGUCAGGAGUUCGAGACUAGCCUGGCCAACGCAAGGGCAGUGACUGGAAGCUGGGAGAGAGGGUCAACAGCUGAAUCUCAGCCUGAUGGAGGCCACCAUUUAAUAAGUAAAUACAUGCACGGUAAGCCUCAUAUGACUUUCGUCUCUCUAUUCUUUUAGAAGUUGGUCUAAUCCAACCAUAUAUACAAAUGCAAUUAUUUCUCCUUCAAUAUUUUCAUUCAUUCAAUAUACAUCGGGUAUUAUGAAUAAAGUCCGUGUAGAUACAAGUAGUCUCAGUUCCCCAAAAUGUUUAGAGUGUAUAAUACCAAAAAAUGCUAUUAUAAAGUUUAGUGAGAAAAAAGUUUGUUUUUAUAUAACCAUAUAUGCAAUAUGAUUACAAAUCUGCUAAAUUGUUGAGCAAACAAUAAAUGGUUAAUCAGUGUUGAUGGAUGAGCAAACUAUGAAUUAUUUUCCCUCUUUUAAUUUUCAUCUCCAAAUUUUCUAUAAUGUGGUUGUAUGAAUUUAUUCAUAUAGAGAGAAUUUACAGGUGGCUGAAGUGAAUCUGGGUUCAGAUGUUGGACUUCGCGGUUUAUUCUUUUACAGAGUUUGAGAUAAGCCAGUGAAGUCUGACAAAAUAUAAAGCAGCUCUUUCUGCAUUUGCAAAUAUGUGUGCAGUUUUUUUUUUUAGAUAGUACAUUUGUAUUUUGAUUGAUUGAUUGAGAUGGAGUCUUGCUCUGUCACCCAGGCUGGAGUGCAGUGGCAUGAUCUCGGCUCACUGCAACCUCUGCCUACUGAGUUCAACUGAUUCUCCUGCCCCAGCCUCCCAAGUAACUGGGAUGACAGGCGCCCGCCACCAAGCCCAACUAAUUUUUUGUGCCUUUAGUAGAGACAGGGUUUCACCAUGUUGGCCAGGAGGGACUCAAACUCCUGACCUCAAGUGAUCCACCUGCCUUGGCCUCCCAAAGUGCUGGGAUGACAGGUGCACAGGUGUGAGCAAUCACGCCCGGCCAAGAUAGUGCAUUUUUAAAUGUUUCUCUCCAGACCUGUCAUCAUAAAAGUUGCUUGCUUAGAAGGGGGAUAAAAUAAGAUGCAAACCAGCUCUUCUUUUAUUGGAGAGUUUCAAUUUAAUCAGAAGGUGAAUGUUAGCACAUAUAUAUAUGUGUGUGUAUAUAUGUACAUAUACAUAUAUAUGUAUAUACAUGUGUAUACAUAUAUGUAUAUAUACACAUUUGAUUCCAAUAAUAUAUAUUUUGAGCCAAAUUUUAUAUGUAUGUAUAUGUGUAUAUAUACAUACAUGUAUAUGUAUGUACAUAUAUACAUAUGUGUGUAUAUGUAUGUACAUAUAUGUAUCUGUAUAUAUGUAUAUACAUAUAUAUGUAUCUGUAUAUAUGUAUAUACAUAUGUAUCAGUAUAUGUAUAUAUGUACAUGUAUAUACUAUAUAUGUGUAUAAAUGUAUAUAGUAUAUAUACAUAUAUACGUGUAUACAUAUAUACACGUAUAUAUGUAUAUGUAUAUACAUACAUAUAUAUGUAUAUACACACAAAUAUACAUAUAUACACGUAUAUGUAUACACAUCUAUACAUAUUUACAUAUACAUACAUGUGCGUAUAUACACAUAUGUAUACAUAUAUACAUGUACAUAUGACGUAUAUAUGUGUAUAUACACAUAUAUACACAUAUAUACACACACAUAUAUGUGUAUAUAUAUACACACACAAUGGAAUAUUGUCCAGCCAUAGAAAAUAAAAUCCUGUCAUUUGCAGCAACAUGGAUGGAACUGGAGGACAUAUGCUAAUUUGAAAUAAGCAAGGCACAGAAAGACAAGUAUUAUAUGUUCUCACUCAUAUGUGGGAGAUAAAAAAGUGGAUUUCAUGGAGGUACAGUAGAAUGGUACUUAAAAGAGGCUAAAGGGCCUGGCGCGGUGGCUCAUGCCUGUAAUCCCAGCAUUUUGGGAGGCCGAGGCAGGCGGAUCACCUGAGGUCAGGAGUUCGAGGCCAGCCUGACCAACAUGGUGAAACCCUAUCUCUACUAAAAAAUACAAAAAGUAGCCAGGCAUGGUGGUGGGCACUUGUAAUCCCAGCUACUCGGGAGGCUGAGGCAGGAGAAUCACUUAAACCCAGGAGGUGGAGGUUGCAGUGAGCCGAGAUCAUGCCAUUGCACUCCAGCCUGUGCAACAGAGCCAAACUCUGUCUGUCUCCAAAAAAAAAAAAAAAAAAAAAAAAAGGCUAGGAAGGACAGCAGGAGUGGGGGAUAAAGAAACAAACGUUGGUUUAUGGUACAAGAAUACAGUUAGCUAAAAAGAAUAAGUUCCAGUGUUUGAUAGCACAACAGGGUGACUACAGUUAAUAAUAACUGAUUUUAUAUUUCAAAAUAGCUAGAAGAAAACUUCUGCAUAUUCCCAACACAAAGAAAUGGUAAAUGUUUGUUUGAGAUGACGGAUAUUCUAAUUACCCUGAUUUGAUCAUUACACAUUUUAUGCAUGUAUCAAAGCAUCACACAUACUCUACUCUAGAAAUAUUUAUAAUCAUUAUGUCAACAAAAAAUUAAUAUAAAAAAAGAAAAUAAAAGCUAAUUCCAACUGCUAAGUCAUUGAUAAAUUAAAAAUAGAAAUGAGAUUGGGGUCUUAAGUAAUUUCCUUACAUUAACGGUCAAAAUGAAUGCCACACCUUGUGAGACAGCAUGCAAAACUCAGUUUCAGAGCUGGCAUAUUGAAUUAAUAACAUAUCCUUUUUCUAUCAAAAUGCUCUUAAGUUGUAAAUCAUGCUUUUUUGUUUUUUUUUUUUCAGGCUAUUUAGAUCCUGCAUCAGACAGGUCAUCAGAAAACAUGAAGCUAAAUGCAGUAAAGAAUUACUCUCUUGAACUCUUGAAAAUAUCAAAAACAUGAAGCUAAAUGCAGUAAAGAAUUAGUCUCUUGAACUCUUGAAAAUAUCAUUUUCUUAUAGAAAUGGUUUAAAAAUUUCUUUUUUAUUAUUUCUAAUUUUCCUUCAGAAAAUUGUGAGUUUUAACCUACAACACAUACACUCCAAGGUAAUGCCACUCUAAUGCUGUCUAGUUGAUCUGAAUAACUAACUGGUCAAUUAUCAGAUCCACCAAACUGUCUCUCUGGAGAUUAACUUCUGCCAGCAUAUUGGUUUCUGUUCAUUUUCACAAGAUUGACAGGCUCAUUACAGCAAUAUUAACAUCUUCCUUUGAGCACUCACACUGUGCAAUUGUAAUUUUGCAUAUGUUGAUGAGCAGGCAAUUACAUCAAAGAGUGAACACUGGGCUGAUGUGCAAGGCACUAUUUAAUUAUAAAAACAGUAUAGGAUUGAGCCCUGUCACUGAGUCUUCCAUUCCUUCUAUCUCGCCUGUUUCUAAUUUAUUUCUCUAUUUCUUCAUUUCUUCCUUGACUGUCUUCAUUCUUUGCUUUUUAUUUCUUUCUCCUUAAAUGACAGACCUUUUCUUAGAUGCCAUUUCUCUAUGUCUGCGCUUAAGACAAGAAUUUUUUUCCUCCUAGUUGUUGGUUAAUGUCUGCAAAUGUGAGAGCAUGUUAACAUGACAAACAACAAGGAAUUUGAAA